GCGGCGGACGGGUGAGUAACACGUGGGUAACCUGCCCAUAAGACUGGGAUAACUCCGGGAAACCGGGGCUAAUACCGGAUAACAUUUUGAACCGCAUGGUUCGAAAUUGAAAGGCGGCUUCGGCUGUCACUUAUGGAUGGACCCGCGUCGCAUUAGCUAGUUGGUGAGGUAACGGCUCACCAAGGCAACGAUGCGUAGCCGACCUGAGAGGGUGAUCGGCCACACUGGGACUGAGACACGGCCCAGACUCCUACGGGAGGCAGCAGUAGGGAAUCUUCCGCAAUGGACGAAAGUCUGACGGAGCAACGCCGCGUGAGUGAUGAAGGCUUUCGGGUCGUAAAACUCUGUUGUUAGGGAAGAACAAGUGCUAGUUGAAUAAGCUGGCACCUUGACGGUACCUAACCAGAAAGCCACGGCUAACUACGUGCCAGCAGCCGCGGUAAUACGUAGGUGGCAAGCGUUAUCCGGAAUUAUUGGGCGUAAAGCGCGCGCAGGUGGUUUCUUAAGUCUGAUGUGAAAGCCCACGGCUCACCGUGGAGGGUCAUUGGAAACUGGGAGACUUGAGUGCAGAGAGGAAGUG
rnacentral:rRNA from 1 species